CUCGGGUGAAGGAACUAGGCAAAAUGGUGCCGUAACUUCGGGAGAAGGCACGCUGACACGUAGGUGAAGUGGUUUACCCAUGGAGCUGAAGUCAGUCGAAGAUACCAGCUGGCUGCAACUGUUUAUUAAAAACACAGCACUGUGCAAACACGAAAGUGGACGUAUACGGUGUGACGCCUGCCCGGUGCCGGAAGGUUAAUUGAUGGGGUCAGCGCAAGCGAAGCUCCUGAUCGAAGCCCCGGUAAACGGCGGCCGUAACUAUAACGGUCCUAAGGUAGCGAAAUUCCUUGUCGGGUAAGUUCCGACCUGCACGAAUGGCGUAAUGAUGGCCAGGCUGUCUCCACCCGGGACUCAGUGAAAUUGAACUCGCUGUGAAGAUGCAGUGUACCCGCGGCAAGACGGAAAGACCCCGUGAACCUUUACUAUAGCUUGACACUGAACACUGGUCCUUGAUGUGCAGGAUAGGUGGGAGGCUUUGAAGUGUGGACGCCAGUCUGCAUGGAGCCAUCCUUGAAAUACCACCCUUUAAUGGCUGGUGUUCUAACGUGGGCCCGUGAACCGGGUUGCGGACAGUGUCUGGUGGGUAGUUUGACUGGGGCGGUCUCCUCCUAAAGAGUAACGGAGGAGCACGAAGGUUGGCUAAUCCUGGUCGGACAUCAGGAGGUUAGUGCAAUGGCAUAAGCCAGCUUGACUGCGAGCGUGACGGCGCGAGCAGGUGCGAAAGCAGGUCAUAGUGAUCCGGUGGUUCUGAAUGGAAGGGCCAUCGCUCAACGGAUAAAAGGUACUCCGGGGAUAACAGGCUGAUACCGCCCAAGAGUUCAUAUCGACGGCGGUGUUUGGCACCUCGAUGUCGGCUCAUCACAUCCUGGGGCUGAAGUAGGUCCCAAGGGUAUGGCUGUUCGCCAUUUAAAGUGGUACGCGAGCUGGGUUUAGAACGUCGUGAGACAGUUCGGUCCCUAUCUGCCGUGGGCGCUGGAAGAUUGAGGGGGGCUGCUCCUAGUACGAGAGGACCGGAGUGGACGCAUCACUGGUGUUCGGGUUGUCAUGCCAAUGGCACUGCCCGGUAGCUACAUGCGGAAGAGAUAAGUGCUGAAAGCAUCUAAGCACGAAACUUGCCCCGAGAUGAAUCUUCCCUGAGCCUUUAAGGCUCCUGAAGGAACGUUGAAGACGACGACGUUGAUAGGCCGGGUGUGUAAGCGCAGCGAUGCGUUGAGCUAACCGGUA
rnacentral:rRNA from 1 species